GGAGGGACUGACUUUCACACUCCACCCACAACGAGGAGGCAGUUCUAUUGAAACCGAAGGCGACACGUUACCAUUGUUUUCUGCAGAAAGAAACCAUAAAACGCAUGUCCUUUUCCGUAGAAUUAUGUAGCCACAGUACGUUUUUAUUACUUUAAGCCAAUUGAUUUGGUAUUUAGUUGAGACAGUUGAAGAGAAAACCACGCAGACAGACAAUCAUGUGAAUGGACAUUUUUUCGUUGAGUGAAACAGCAGCAGAGGCAAACGAUUUGAGAAAUCAUCAAAUCUGAAGAUGUCAGCAGGAAAGGAUAUUUACAAACGGGUCAAAGCAGAGGUCCGGGCCAAACUGAAAAUGUUGAAGUCGAAGAAGUUCAGACGAUUUCGACACCAUCUGUGUAGGAAGAUGGAUGAUAAGAGUGUUGAGAUGAUGGGAGUGAAAGACAUUGUGUCAGUACUGAUGAAGAAAUAUGGAAAAAAGGCCCGUCACAUUGUGUCCUCACUUUUAAAAGACAGUAAAUAUCGGAGUAAACGGAGACGAAGUCAACAAGGUGAG